rnacentral:rRNA from 1 species
UACGUAGGGUGCAAGCGUUGUCCGGAAUUAUUGGGCGUAAAGAGCUCGUAGGCGGUCUGUCGCGUCUGCUGUGAAAACUCAGGGCUUAACCCUGAGCUUGCAGUGGGUACGGGCAGACUAGAGUGCGGUAGGGGAGACUGGAAUUCCUGGUGUAGCGGUGAAAUGCGCAGAUAGUCAGGAGGGAACACCGGUGGCGAAGGCGGGUCUCU